AUUGAACGCUGGCGGCAGGCCUAACACAUGCAAGUCGAACGAGCGGCGGACGGGUGAGUAAUGUCUGGGAAACUGCCCGAUGGAGGGGGAUAACUACUGGAAACGGUAGCUAAUACCGCAUACCAUCAGAUGUGCCCAGAUGGGAUUAGCUAGUUGGUGGGGUAACGGCUCACCUAGGCGACGAUCCCUAGCUGGUCUGAGAGGAUGAACAGCCACACUGGGACUGAGACACGGCCCAGACUCCUACGGGAGGCAGCAGGGGGGAAUAUUGCACAAUGGGCGCAAGCCUGAUGCAGCCAUGCCGCGUGUAUGAAGAAGGCCUUCGGGUUGUAAAGUACUUUCAGCGGGGAGGCGUUACCCGCAGAAGAAGCACCGGCUAACUCCGUGCCAGCAGCCGCGGUAAUAC
rnacentral:rRNA from 1 species